rnacentral:tRNA from 1 species
UUUUAACUCAUUGGUAGAGUAAUCCCAUGGUAAUGCGUAAGCCCUCGGUUCAAACCCGACAAGGGGCU